rnacentral:rRNA from 1 species
CCUACGGGAGGCAGCAGUGAGGAAUAUUGGUCAAUGGGCGAGAGCCUGAACCAGCCAAGUCGCGUGAGGGAGUACUGCCCUAUGGGUUGUAAACCUCUUUUGUCGGGGAGCAAAAGCCGGACGUGUCCGGCUGUGAGAGUACCCGAAGAAAAAGCAUCGGCUAACUCCGUGCCAGCAGCCGCGGUAAUACGGAGGAUGCGGGCGUUAUCCGGAUUUAUUGGGUUUAAAGGGUGCGCAGGCGGAUUUUUAAGUCAGCGGUAAAAUCGUGGGGCUCAACCCCAUCCAGCCGUUGAAACUGGGGAUCUAGAGUGGGCGAGAGGUAUGCGGAAUGCGUGGUGUAGCGGUGAAAUGCAUAGAUAUCACGCAGAACCCCGAUUGCGAAGGCAGCAUACCGGUGCACAACUGACGCUCAGGCACGAAAGCGUGGGUAUCGAACAGGAUUAGAUACCCUUGUAGUC